UACGUAGGGGGCAAGCGUUGUCCGGAAUCAUUGGGCGUAAAGAGCGCGUAGGCGGCCCGGUAAGUCCGCUGUGAAAGUCAAGGGCUCAACCCUUGAAUGCCGGUGGAUACUGUCGGGCUAGAGUCCGGAAGAGGCGAGUGGAAUUCCUGGUGUAGCGGUGAAAUGCGCAGAUAUCAGGAGGAACACCAAUGGCGAAGGCAGCUCGCUGGGACGGUACUGACGCUGAGGUGCGAAAGCGUGGGGAGCAAACAGG
rnacentral:rRNA from 1 species